rnacentral:rRNA from 1 species
CUGACCGAUAGUGAACCAGUACCGUGAGGGAAAGGCGAAAAGAACCCCGGCGAGGGGAGUGAAAAAGAACCUGAAACCGUGUACGUACAAGCAGUGGGAGCACCCUUUGGGGUGUGACUGCGUACCUUUUGUAUAAUGGGUCAGCGACUUAUAUUCUGUAGCAAGGUUAACCGAAUAGGGGAGCCGGAGGGAAACCGAGUCUUAAUUGGGCGUUAAGUUGCAGGGUAUAGACCCGAAACCCGGUGAUCUAGCCAUGGGCAGGUUGAAGGUUGGGUAACACUAACUGGAGGACCGAACCGACUAAUGUUGAAAAAUUAGCGGAUGACCUGUGGCUGGGGGUGAAAGGCCAAUCAAACCGGGAGAUAGCUGGUUCUCCCCGAAAGCUAUUUAGGUAGCGCCUCGUGAACUCAUCUCCGGGGGUAGAGCACUGUUUCGGCUAGGGGGCCAUCCCGGCUUACCAACCCGAUGCAAACUGCGAAUACCGGAGAAUGUUAUCACGGGAGACACACGGCGGGUGCUAACGUCCGUCGUGAAGAGGGAAACAACCCAGACCGCCAGCUAAGGUCCCAAAGUCAUGGUUAAGUGGGAAACGAUGUGGGAAGGCCCAGACAGCCAGGAUGUUGGCUUAGAAGCAGCCAUCAUUUAAAGAAAGCGUAAUAGCUCACUGGUCGAGUCGGCCUGCGCGGAAGAUGUAACGGGGCUAAACCAUGCACCGAAGCUGCGGCAGCGACACUAUGUGUUGUUGGGUAGGGGAGCGUUCUGUAAGCCUGUGAAGGUGGCCUGUGAGGGUUGCUGGAGGUAUCAGAAGUGCGAAUGCUGACAUAAGUAACGAUAAAGCGGGUGAAAAGCCCGCUCGCCGGAAGACCAAGGGUUCCUGUCCAACGUUAAUCGGGGCAGGGUGAGUCGACCCCUAAGGCGAGGCCGAAAGGCGUAGUCGAUGGGAAACGGGUUAAUAUUCCCGUACUUGGUGUUACUGCGAAGGGGGGACGGAGAAGGCUAUGUUGGCCGGGCGACGGUUGUCCCGGUUUAAGCGUGUAGGUGUGUGUUCCAGGUAAAUCCGGUUCACUUUAACACUGAGGCGUGACGACGAGGCACUACGGUGCUGAAGCAACAAAUGCCCUGCUUCCAGGAAAAGCCUCUAAGCAUCAGGUA